rnacentral:rRNA from 1 species
CCUGGUUGAUCCUACUAGUAGUCAUACGCUUGUCUCAAAGAUUAAGCCAUUCAUGCAUAAGUAUGAACUAAUUCAGACUGUGAAACUAUGAAUGGCUCAUUAAAUCAAUUAUAAAUUAUUUGAUGGUAUCUACUACUUGGAUAAUUGUAGUAAUUCUAGAGCUAAUACAUGUAACAAACCCUAACGUUUGGAAGGGAUGCAUUUAUUUGAUAAAUGGUUAACCUAGGCUUUGCCCAUUGCUCUAAUGAUUCAUGAAACUUGACGGAUUAGACAACUUUGUGCCAAUGAUGCAUCAUUCAAAUUUUUAUCUUAUCAAAUUUUGAUGGUAGGAUAGUGGCCUACUAUGGUGGUGACAAGUGAUGGAGAAUUAGGAUUUGAUUAUGAAGAGAGAGCCUAAGAAAUGGCUACCACAUCCAAGGUAGUAAGCACGCAAAUUACUCAAUCUUGACAUGGAGAGGUAAUGAUAAUAUAUAACAAUAUUGGACUCUAUGAAUUUAGUGAUUGGAAUGAGUACAAUCUAAAUCCUUUAACAAGGAUCCAUUGAAGGGCAAGUCUAGUGCCCGUAGCCAUGGUAAUUCUAGCUCUAAUAGCAUAUAUUUAAGUUUUUGUAGUUAAAAAAUUCAUAGUUGGAACCAGGGUUAGGUCAUCUAGUCUACCAGCGAUGUGCUCUUGGCCUUAACUAGCUGGGUCAUUCCUCUAGUGCUAUUACUUUGAAGAAAUUAGAGUUCUUAAAGCAGGCCUUUGCUUAUAUACAUUAGCAUAGGAUAACAUUAUAGGAUUUUAAUCCUAUUGUGUUGGCCUUCGAGAUCGGAAUAAUGAUUAAUAAAGAUAGUUAAGGGAAUUUGUAUUUCAUAGUCAGAGGUGAAAUUCUUGGAUUUAUGAAAUGAACAACUAUGAAAGCAUUUGCCAAGUAUGCUUUAGUAAUCAAGAAUGAAAGUUGGAAGCUCAAAGACGAUCAGAUACCAUCCCAUUCUCAACCUUAAAUAAUGCCAACCAGGGAUAGACGGAUGUUGCUUUUAGGACUCCAUCGAUUGGCACUUUUUAAGAAAUCAAAGUUUGGGUUCCGAGGGGAGUUUCAUCUCAUGGUUGAAACUUAAAGGAAUUGAUAGAAGGGCACCAUCAGAAGUGGAGCUUAUAGUUUAAUUUGACUCAGCAUGGGAAAACUUACCAAGUCCAGACAUAGCCAGGAUUGAUAGACUGAGAGCUCUUUCUUGAUUUGAAAGCUUGUGGUGCAUGGCCAUUCUUAGUUGAUGGAGUGAAUUGUCUGGUUAAUUUCAUUAACGAAUAAGAACUUAGCCUACUAACUAGCUACAUAGAGGUGAUCCUUCAUGGCUAGCUUCUUAGAGGGACCAUGGUAGCUUAGGAUAAGGAAGUUUUAGGCAAUAAUAGGUUUGUGAUGCCUUUAGAUUUUUUGGGCCUCACACACCCUACACCGAUGUAUUCAAUGAGUUUAUAGCCUUGGCCAACAAGCACGAGUAAUAUUUGAAAUUUCAUCAUGAUAGGGAUAGGUCAUUGCAAUUAUUCAUCUUCAAUGAGUAAUUUCAUCUUCGUAAGCACGAGUCAUCAGCUCACAUUGACUAUGUCUCUGCCUUUUGUACAUAUUGCCCAUCCCUCUUAUCGAUUAAAUGGUCUAGUGAAGUGUUCAAAUCAUGUUGACAUGGACGGUUUGCUACACACAACAUUGUAAGAAGUCCUUUGAACCUUAUCAUUUAGAGGAAAAGAAAGUCAUAACAAGGUUUUUAUAGGUGAACUUAUGGAAG